ACAGUUCCUGGGCGGUACAAAGAAAGAGCUUGCUCAGAUUUGUUGAACUAAAGAUAAUUAAAUAAUUACUCCAUGAUACAUUCCAAACUGAUUUGAAAAAUACCGGAUUACAAAUUGAACAGCUCUGUCAGUCAUAAUGAAGCUAACAGGAAAAGUCAAUGCCUGUCUGGAAGUAUCACUAAAAACCAUGCUGAAAACAGAUUAACUCUGCUUCAAAAUAAGGUGCUCCAGUUCUGCUUCAUACAUCAUCUCCUGCAUCAGGUACUUCUCCCUCCUCAUGCGGUCGCACAGAUCCUUGGGCAUGUCCGGGAUGAGAAAAAUGAAGAAGGCAGCGUACGUCAGGGGAAAAUCUGACUUUCCAAGGGAAGAGGAAGAAAUAUGGGGCUUCUUUUUUAGCUGGACCACCAUGGAAUUUGGUUUUUAUUCUGUGGUUGUUUUACUUAAACUUCUCAGACUACUGUAGGAGCAACAUUGACUGAAAGCACGAGAAGCUCCUAAAUUGUACUUGUGAGGUUUUCACUUAGC